GAUGAACGCUGGCGGCGUGCUUAACACAUGCAAGUCGAAUGGUGAACACGGACCUUGCUCUGUGGGAUCAGUGGCGAACGGGUGAGUAACACGUGAGCAACCUGCCCCUGACUCUGGGAUAAGCGCUGGAAACGGCGUCUAAUACUGGAUACGAGUAGCGGCCGCAUGGUCAGUUACUGGAAAGAUUUUUUGGUUGGGGAUGGGCUCGCGGCCUAUCAGCUUGUUGGUGAGGUAAUGGCUCACCAAGGCGUCGACGGGUAGCCGGCCUGAGAGGGUGACCGGCCACACUGGGACUGAGACACGGCCCAGACUCCUACGGGAGGCAGCAGUGGGGAAUAUUGCACAAUGGGCGAAAGCCUGAUGCAGCAACGCCGCGUGAGGGAUGACGGCCUUCGGGUUGUAAACCUCUUUUAGCAGGGAAGAAGCGAAAGUGACGGUACCUGCAGAAAAAGCGCCGGCUAACUACGUGCCAGCAGCCGCGGUAA
rnacentral:rRNA from 1 species